rnacentral:rRNA from 1 species
CAGCAGCCGCGGGAAAACGUAGGGUGCGAGCGUUAAUCGGAAUUACUGGGCGUAAAGCGUGCGCAGGCGGUUGUGUAAGACAGGUGUGAAAUCCCCGGGCUUAACCUGGGAACUGCGCUUGUGACUGCACAGCUAGAGUAUGGCAGAGGGGGGUGAAUUCCACGUGUAGCAGUGAAAUGCGUAGAGAUGUGGAGGAACACCGAUGGCGAAGGCAGCCCCCUGGGCCAAUACUGACGCUCAUGCACGAAAGCGUGGGGAGCGAACAGGAUUAGAUACCCCCGUAGUCCCUGUCUCUUAUACA